GAUGAACGCUGGCGGCGUGCCUAAUACAUGCAAGUCGAGCGAACAGACGAGGAGCUUGCUCCUUCGACGUUAGCGGAGGACGGGUGAGUAACACGUAGGUACCCUACCUAUAAGACUGGGAUAACUUCGGGAAACCGGCGCUAAUACCGGAUAAUAUUUCGAACCGCAUGGUUGGAUAGUGAAAGAUGGCUUUGCGAUAACUAAUCGAUGGACUUGCGCCGUUUUAGCUAGUCGGUAAGGUAACGGCUUACCAAGGCAACGAUACGUAGCCGACCGGAGUGGCGGAUCGCCCGCACUGGAACUGGAACGCGCUCCAUGCGCCUACGGGAGGCAGCAGUAGGCAACGUGACGCAGCGGUCGAAAACCUGACGGAGCGACGCCACGUCAGUGGUGACAGUCUUGCGUUCGUAAUACUCUGUUAUUAGUGAAAAACAACCUUGUAAGUUACUGUGCACUGCUUGACGGUAACUAGUCAGAAAGCCACGGCUAACUACGUG
rnacentral:rRNA from 1 species